GCCCGGGUAGCUCAGCCUGGAUAGAGCAUCAGGUUCCUAACCUGAGGGUCGCAGGUUCAAAUCCUGUCUCGGGCA
rnacentral:tRNA from 1 species